rnacentral:rRNA from 1 species
GACGUAGGGUGCGAGCGUUGUCCGGAAUUAUUGGGCGUAAAGAGCUCGUAGGCGGUGUGUCACGUCGGCCGUGAAAACCUGCAGCUUAACUGUGGGCGUGCGGUCGAUACGGGCAUCACUGGAGUUCGGCAGGGGAGACUGGAAUUCCUGGUGUAGCGGUGAAAUGCGCAGAUAUCAGGAGGAACACCGGUGGCGAAGGCGGGUCUCUGGGCCGAUACUGACGCUGAGGAGCGAAAAGCGUGGGGGAGCAAACAGG